rnacentral:rRNA from 1 species
AUUGAACGCUGGCGGCAGGCCUAACACAUGCAAGUCGAGCGGCAGCGGGAAAGUAGCUUGCUACUUUUGCCGGCGAGCGGCGGACGGGUGAGUAAUGCCUGGGGAUCUGCCCAGUCGAGGGGGAUAACAGUUGGAAACGACUGCUAAUACCGCAUACGCCCUACGGGGGAAAGCAGGGGACCUUCGGGCCUUGCGCGAUUGGAUGAACCCAGGUGGGAUUAGCUAGUUGGGGAGGUAAUGGCUCACCAAGGCGACGAUCCCUAGCUGGUCCGAGAGGAUGAUCAGCCACACUGGAACUGAGACACGGUCCAGACUCCUACGGGAGGCAGCAGUGGGGAAUAUUGCACAAUGGGGGAAACCCUGAUGCAGCCAUGCCGCGUGUGUGAAGAAGGCCUUCGGGUUGUAAAGCACUUUCAGCGAGGAGGAAAGGUUGGUAGCGAAUAACUGCCAGCUGUGACGUUACUCGCAGAAGAAGCACCGGCUAACUCCGUGCCAGCCGCCGCCGUAAGAC